rnacentral:rRNA from 1 species
UGGACGAAAGUCUGACCGAGCAACGCCGCGUGAGUGAAGAAGGUUUUCGGAUCGUAAAACUCUGUUGGUAGAGAAGAACGUUGGUGAGAGUGGAAAGCUCAUCAAGUGACGGUAACUACCCAGAAAGGGACGGCUAACUACGUGCCAGCAGCCGCGGUAAUACGUAGGUCCCGAGCGUUGUCCGGAUUUAUUGGGCGUAAAGCGAGCGCAGGUGGUUUAUUAAGUCUGGUGUAAAAGGCAGUGGCUCAACCAUUGUAUGCAUUGGAAACUGGUAGACUUGAGUGCAGGAGAGGAGAGUGGAAUUCCAUGUGUAGCGGUGAAAUGCGUAGAUAUAUGGAGGAACACCGGUGGCGAAAGCGGCUCUCUGGCCUGUAACUGACACUGAGGCUCGAAAGCGUGGGGAGCAAACAGGAUUAGAUACCCUGGUAGUCCACGCCGUAAACGAUGAGUGCUAGAUGUAGGGAGCUAUAAGUUCUCUGUAUCGCAGCUAACGCAAUAAGCACUCCGCCUGGGGAGUACGACCGCAAGGUUGAAACUCAAAGGAAUUGACGGGGGCCCGCACAAG